UACGUAGGGUGCAAGCGUUGUCCGGAAUCGCUGGGCGUAAAGGGCGCGUAGGUGGCGACCCAAGUCGAUGGUGAAAGCUCGCCGCUCAACGGCGAGUCGGCCACCGAUACUGGGUUGCUCGAGCACUGUAGAGGCUAAUGGAAUUCCGGGUGUAGCGGUGGAAUGCGUAGAGAUCCGGAAGAACACCGGUGGCGAAGGCGGUUAGCUGGGCAGUUGCUGACACUGAGGCGCGACAGCGUGGGGAGCAAACAGG
rnacentral:rRNA from 1 species